GGUACAGCCGCGCGCGGAGAAGCCGCUCCCGCCGUCCCGGAGGUCUGAGCGAGCGCAGUAGCCCCAAAAGAUGUUGCUGGACUGACUUCUGUUCCUGCUGGACAAGGCACUGAGAGGAUGCCAGAGAGAGGGAGACUCGUUCGCUGUGCUGUUCAGAUGUUGCUGGACUGACUUCUGUUCCUGCUGGACAAGGCACUGAGAGGAUGCCAGAGAGAGGGAGACUCGUUCG